rnacentral:rRNA from 1 species
GAUAAACGCUGGCGGCGUGCAUAACACAUUCAAGUCGAACGGGAAUCGGAUGAUUGAGACUUCGGUUGAUUGAUUUCGAGGAUAGUGGCGGACGGGUGAGUAACGCGUGAGCAACCUGCCUUCAUGAGGGGGAUAACAGUGGGAAACGACUGCUAAUACCGCAUAACGUAUUAAAGCGACAUCGCUUAAAUAUCAAAGGAGAAAUCCGCAUGAAGAUGGGCUCGCGUCUGAUUAGAUAGUUGGUGAGGUAACGGCUCACCAAGUCGACGAUCAGUAGCCGGACUGAGAGGUUGAACGGCCACAUUGGAACUGAGAUACGGUCCAGACUCCUACGGGAGGCAGCAGUGGGAAUAUUGGGCAAUGGGGGAACCCUGACCCAGCAACGCCGCGUGAAGGAAGAAGG